AAAGUGCUCCAGUAAUGACCCAAAUAUCCAGUCCACCCCAAGCACGACCAAUUUCAUAACUGUUUAACCAGAGUUUCAGUAGCACGACCAUACUAUUUCGUAAGUGUUUAACCACGACUACAAAUGUCCUCAAGGCACGCAAGCAAUUAGUCAUUUCAGGCUUACAAAAAAACAAAAUCAUCUGCUAAAAGCCCAAAAGCAGUCAACACUACAUCUCCAUGAUUUCCAUAUAUGGAACAAUUGGCCAUAUGGCCUCACCUAGCGCUACGAUAAGGAGGAGAGUAGGGUGAUCUGGACCUCUCCCUCCUUGACCUUCCACCAUAGGGGGAGUGCCUGGGAGAAUAAUCACGCGCCCCACGAUAAGGAGAGUGCCUGGGAGAAUAAUCACGAC
rnacentral:misc_RNA from 1 species